UUUUCCGGAUUUAACUUGGGUUAAAGGGCGAGUGGGCGGGAUUUAAGUCAGAUGGGAAAGUUGGGGCUCAACCCUGAGAGUGCAUUUGAAACUAGAUUCUUGAGUUGAUGGAGAGGCAGGCGAAUUCCCGGUGUUAGCGGUGAAAUGCGUAGAUAUCGGAGGAACACCAGUGGCGAAGGCGGUCUGCUGGACAUUAACUGACGCUGAGAAGCGAAAGCGUGGGAGCAAACAGGAUUAGAUACCCUGGUAGUCCACGCUGUAAACGAUGGAUACUAGGUGUGGGAGGUAUUGACCCCUUCCGUGCCGCAGUUAACACAAUAAGUAUCCCACCUGGGGAGUACGGUCGCAAGACUGAAACUCAAAGGAAUUGACGGGGGCCCGCACAAGCAGUGGAGUAUGUGGUUUAAUUCGAAGCAACGCGAAGAACCUUACCGGGUCUUGACAUCUAACUAACGAAGCAGAGAUGCAUUAGGUGCUCUUUCGGGAGAAAGUUAAGACAGGUGGUGCAUGGUUGUCGUCAGCUCGUGUCGUGAGAUGUUGGGUUAAGUCCCGCAACGAGCGCAACCCUUAUUGUUAGUUGAUACAUUUCGGAUGAUCACUCUAGCGAGACUGCCGUUGACAAAACGGAGGAAGGUGGGGACGACGUCAAAUCAUCAUGCCCCUUAUGACCCGGGCUACACACGUACUACAAUGGUAGCCAUACAGAGGGAAGCGAGACAGUGAUGUGGAGCAAACCCCUAAAAGCUACCUCAGUUCAGAUUGUAGGCUGCAACUCGCCUACAUGAAGUCGGAAUUGCUAGUAAUCGCAGAUCAGCAUGCUGCGGUGAAUACGUUCCCGGGCCUUGUACACACCGCCCGUCACACCACGAGAGCCGAUAAGACCCGAAGUCGGUAGUCUAACCUGAAAAGGAGGACGCUGCCGAAGGUAGGAUUGGUAAUUGGGGUG
rnacentral:rRNA from 1 species